rnacentral:rRNA from 1 species
AUUAGCGGCGGACGGGUGAGUAACACGUGGGCAACCUACCUGUAAGACUGGGAUAACUUCGGGAAACCGGAGCUAAUACCGGAUGACAUUAAGGAACUCCUGUUCCUUAAUUGAAAGAUGGCUUCGGCUAUCACUUACAGAUGGGCCCGCGGCGCAUUAGCUAGUUGGUGAGGUAACGGCUCACCAAGGCGACGAUGCGUAGCCGACCUGAGAGGGUGAUCGGCCACACUGGGACUGAGACACGGCCCAGACUCCUACGGGAGGCAGCAGUAGGGAAUCUUCCGCAAUGGACGAAAGUCUGACGGAGCAACGCCGCGUGAGCGAUGAAGGCCUUCGGGUCGUAAAGCUCUGUUGUUAGGGAAGAACAAGUGCUAGUUAAAUAAGCUGGCACCUUGACGGUACCUAACCAGAAAGCCACGGCUAACUACGUGCCAGCAGCCGCGGUAAUACGUAGGUGGCAAGCGUUGUCCGGAAUUAUUGGGCGUAAAGCGCGCGCAGGCGGUUUCUUAAGUCUGAUGUGAAAGCCCCCGGCUCAACCGGGGAGGGUCAUUGGAAACUGGGAAACUUGAGUGCAGAAGAGGAAAGUGKAAUUCCAAGUGUAGCGGUGAAAUGCGUAGAGAUUUGGAGGAACACCAGUGGCGAAGGCGACUUUCUGGUCUGUAACUGACGCUGAGGCG